UACAGAGGUCCCAAGCGUUGUUCGGAUUCACUGGGCGUAAAGGGUGCGUAGGCGGUCGGGUAAGUCUGAUGUGAAAUCUCACAGCUUAACUGUGAAACUGCAUUGGAUACUAUUCGGCUUGAGAGUUGGAGGGGGGACUGGAAUUCUUGGUGUAGCAGUGAAAUGCGUAGAUAUCAAGAGGAACACCAGUGGCGAAGGCGGCUACCUGGACCAGCACUGACACUGAGGCACGAAAGCGUGGGGAGCAAACAGG
rnacentral:rRNA from 1 species